UAUUGAUCUGGUGCAGGAGAUUCUGU
rnacentral:piRNA from 1 species